rnacentral:lncRNA from 1 species
CAUUGAGAGAGUCUGCUGUAAACUUACUGAAUUAUCACAUAAUGUAACAAAUGCCAUAGACAGGCUGGUUUAAACAACAGAAACUUAUUUUUGCACAAUUCCAGCAUCUGGAAGUUCAAGACCAACGUGCUGGCAGGGUUGGUUUCUUCUGAAUGUAGAUGGCUGUUUUCUCUCUGUAUCUGCAUAAGUGACAGGACUGGGAUUUGAAGCCAAGGGUGUUUAACGUCUCAGGGCUUUCCACUGAAAGCUGGGUUCACCACUGUGCGGCGUGCUCAUCCUUACUUGCUUCAUAGGAUAGUUGUGUCCCAUUUUAUAGAGAAGAAAACUGAGGCACAAAAGGGUUAAACUGAUGGCUAAGUUAGCUAUAGAGCCAGGCAAACAUAAUGAGGAUGGGUCUAGGACAAGAGAAGUUUGUAGGAAUGUUUGUCUUCUGCAAUUCUUGCUCUGACAGUUGGGGGCCCAGGGCCCAGGGAGCAGAAGUGCUGUAUCCAAAGUCAUAAACUGACAUAGCAUGGCAAGGCAGAAUGAAAUCCCUGCUCACUUGACUCACUAUCAACUACAGGGCUGCAGAGGUGGCCCCUUCUAUGGAGAAAGCAAUUUGUCCCAUGGGCCACUCAAAAUGGCAAACAUAGUCUCCAACAGAGGUGACGCAGACAUUACCUCAGAGGCAGCCUUGCUAUCGCUGACCCCUCAGAUGGAUGCAGUUUCCCAUAGCUCCUACUUGCUGAUGAGAUGGCCAUGGCCAUAAAGCAGUCUUCCAGAGUCUGUCCCAGGUAGAUCUCAGGCCUCCAUACGCCAGGGCCAGGCCAUAGAGGUCAUGGCCGGAGCCUCAGGACCUACCACAGAGCUGGCCCAGGGAAGCCUCUGAAGGAAUGUUUGAUGACUCACCAAAUGAAUGAAUGAAUGAAUGAAUGAAUGAAUGAAUAAACAUCCCCAUUACAUGGAUCAGCUGAUCAGCUAAGCAGAGGAUACGCAUUUGCCCAAGGGCCCUUUUGGUGCAGUGUGUGUUGUUCUUUCUGUGGGUGAGGCUGUUGAGGUAUGUGUCUACAAAAGGUGCUAGCAUAGUGCUGGGUGUGUCAUACACGAGGCCACGCCCUACACUUGUGCAAGUUUUCUGUGACCUCUGGGAUCUGAAAGAUCAGUAUUUCCUAGAGUUGAGCAACAGUGAGGUUAGGGGAGUUUGAAGGAGGGAAUGGAGGUGUGACAUUUCUGGGGCCCAGGACCCAGGGAAGUAAGAAAGAUGGUGUUUAUGAAGGCACCUAGCUGCAAGGGCGAGAUCCUAUAGGCAGGUUUAGGGCUUAAUGACUACAAUCACUUUGGCAUGAGCAGCUGACAUGGGCAUCUCGCUAUACAGUUUACCUAAAGCACUGCCACUCCAGUUUCAUCACUGGCUCCUCAGCACUGCAUGAGAGCAGAGCAGUUAUUGCAGUUUCUAUUUAAAAACAAAGCCUGCUAAAUGGCAAAGCUGGAUAGAAUCAGCUCCUCUGAGCCCAUGUCCAGUAUGAUCUCAAGCCAGGCUGCCUUCUGAUUGUGUAUAUCCCAGUAACCAAUCCUGGCCAUGACAUGGUGCUUAGCACAUGAUUCUCAUCCCCUACCUCCAGGAUUGUUUGCUGAUGAGUCAGUGACCAAAUGAAUAGUGCAAAGGAGAGACAAGAGACCUGGGGUGAGGGCAAAGGGUGUCAGGUCGGGGCUGAAGAGCGCAGGAGGAAGAAAGGGCUGGAAUGAAUUCUCUGAAGAUGAGCUGCUUCUUUCAUGACUAUGUGGGCCAGGCCAGGUUUUGGCUCAAGCCUCUCCUUGCUUUUAAUUUAUCAGAAAAUUUGUCACUGGUUCCCUAAAUAUUGAACGUGUUGGAUCCAGAGUUCUCACCAUGGGCCACAAGGUGCCAUUGAGCUGGCUGCCCACUGUCUUCUCUCUUCCACUCUGCAGCCCCUGGAAUGUCACUUCAUUGGCUGCCUUUUGCCAUUUCUAAAACAUUCCAGCAUACUUAGGCCUCAGGGCUUUUGCA